ACUGUGAAUGAAAAGCCCACACUUAACAGAAAUGAAGCAUAUUAUCGAUUAUUCUAGUAAAAAUGUUAAAUUAAUCCUUGUACAAAACAAAAUUACAAAUAAAUGAAACUAAAAUUAUCUAAAACACAUACAUAAGAACUGAUAGAAUGUGAUAGAAUACCCAUAGAGUAAUACCAUUUUAUGUUUCCGCCCCGGCCGCCAUAUUGACAUAAUCUUGACAGCAUGUUGGAAUGGGCGUGAACCAAUGAACUGUCAACACCGAGUUGACAGUUCAUUGGCGUGAACCCGCAAACAAAACAAAACAACAGCAGAAAACAGAACGGAGAGAAGUAAAAAAGACUCUUUUUAUUUACUUUUUACUAUUUACUUGAUGCCUAAGACCAAGACAGCAACUUAACUAUAGCAAGAAAGAGCACUAAGAACUAAGGGUCACAUAGAAUAACAGUAUGGAGAAACAAGAAGACAAUUACACAAAUAACGAAGUAUCUAAUAUAAAAUGCGAAACCGAAUUUGAGAACAAUGGUGUGAACAAUACAGAAUUUCCAGUUACCAUAAAAAAUGAAUUCAAACAAGAAAUGCUUCUACCUGAGGAUGAUACAACUAAUGACGAUUCCAAGGAUUGGUUCAUCCAAAUGAAUACGGCAGUAUCAGUUGAAGAUGUAAAACAUGAACAAAUUGAAGAUGAUGGCGAUUUGGUCAACUGUAAAAAUUUGAAGUCUGAACCAAAUAUUAAGGAAGAGGAAGACAUAAUUGAAGAAAAGCAGAGUCAAUGUGGUUCCUCCUCUGAAGAAAUACACAAUGAUGCAAACAGUGAUUUGAAAUCGAACAAACGCCUGGUAGGAGAGGACACAAAAACUGUUGAUACUUCAUUCACUUGUGAAAUUUGCUCCAAACAGUAUUUUUUAGAGCAUAAUUUAAAAAGACAUAUGAAGUCGCAUGAUGGUGAAGACAAACGGCAUAAUGAUGAAGAAAAAGAAAAACCUUUUGAAUGUGACGUUUGUUUUAAACGGUUUAAAACUAAUUUAGAAGUAAAAUCGCACAUGAGAACUCACACUGGAGAAACAUUUAAGUGUGAACUUUGCCCCAAAGAGUAUUUUUCCAAUUAUUCUUUAAAAUUACAUAUGAGAUGGCACACAGGAGAAACUUUUUCAUGUAAAAUAUGCUCCAAACAAUUUGUAAGAAGUUCUAAAUUCAACGCACAUAUGUUAAAACACAGUGAAGGGAGUAAAGAAAGGCGUUUCACAUGUGUCAUUUGCUCCGAAACAUUUUCAACCAUUUAUAAUUUAAGACGACAUUCAAGAUGGCACACUGGAGAAACUUAUACGUGCGAGAUUUGCUCCAAACAGUUCGUUGACCGUCAUUAUUUUAACAUCCAUUUGAGAUUGCAUACGGGCGCAAAACCUUUUCAGUGUGAAAUUUGUUCAAAACAUUUUUCACACAAGUCCGGAGUAAAAGUACAUAUGAGAACACAUACUGGAGAAAAACCCUUCAGCUGUGAAAUCUGCUCAAAACAGUGUGUAACCAGUUCUGAUUUAAAGGUUCAUAUGAGAAAGCACACUAAAGAAGUGCCUUACGAAUGCGAAAUUUGCCCCAAGAAGUAUGCAACAAGUAGUGGAUUAAAAAAACAUAUGGAAAAACGUCCUUUCAAGUGUGAAACUUGUCUGAGACACUAUAAAACAAAUAAAGAUCUUCAAUUGCAUAUCAAAUUGCACACUGGAGGAGAAACUUUUUCGUGCGAAGUUGGUUCAAAACUUCUUUCUACAUAUUCUUCGCUGAGAGUUCAAUUGAGAACACAUACUGAAAGAAUACCCUUCACAUGCGAAGUUUGCUCCAAAGGAUUUUUUAGCAGUGCCACGUUAAAAUUACAUAUGACGGUGCAUACGAAAGAACUUUUUCCGUGUGAACUGUGCCCUAAACAAUUCAUAACAAAAUCCAAAUUGAAAAUACAUAUUAUGAGAAUGCAUACAGAUGACAGGCCUUUCCCCUGUAAAGUUUGCCCCAAACGGUUUGCAGUGAAAAAUGAGUUAAUUUCACACAUGAGAUGGCACACUAGAGACGUUCUUUUCACAUGUGAAAUUUGCAGUAAACAAUUCGUUACCAGGACAGUACUAACUAGACAUAUUAUGAGAAUUCAUACGGCGGAAAAACCAUUCAAAUGUGAAAUUUGCAAUAAACAAUUUAUUAUCAAGACAGAAUUAACUAAUCAUAUGAUAACUCAUACGGGGGAAAAACCAUUCUCCUGCGAAAUUUGCUGCAAACAGUUUGUUGUCAAAAGAUCAUUAACUGAUCAUAUGAUAACUCAUACGGGGGAAAAACCAUUCUCCUGCGAAAUUUGCUGCAAACAGUUUGUUGUCAAAAGAUCAUUAACUGAUCAUAUGAUAACUCAUACGGGGGAAAACCCAUUCUCCUGCGAAAUUUGCUACAAACAGUUUGUUGGCAAAAGAUCAUUAACUAAUCAUAUGAUAACGCAUACGAGGGGAAAACCAUUCUCCUGCGAAAUUUGCUACAAACAGUUUGUUGUCAAAAGAUCAUUAACUAAUCAUAUGAUAACUCAUACGGGGGAAAAACCAUUCUCCUGCGAAAUUUGCUGCAAACAGUUUGUUUACAAAAUAUCAUUAAAUAAUCAUAUGAUAACUCAUACGGGGGGAAAACCAUUUUCCUGCGAAAUUUGCUGCCAACAGUUUGUUACCAAAAUAUCAUUAUCUAAUCAUAUGAGAACUCAUCCGAGGGAGAAACCAUUCUCCUGUGAAAUUUGCUGCAAACAGUUCGAUAUCAAAAGAUCAUUAAAUAGACAUAUGAGAACUCAUACGGAGGAAAACCCAAUUCAAACGUGAACUUUGCUUUAAAGAUUUCGCAACUAAGUUCUUAGUGCAGCCAAUGGAGUUUUUACUUGAAGGUAUGAUUCCGAACAAGACUGCAAACCGCAGACUCCAGCAACAGACUACAGACGCCACUACUGGUUCAUAUGGUUUUCUAUAAACUGUAUGUCAAGCACAGCGGCACUGUCGCCAUCGUACGCAGAACGCCGCCAACACUGACCGCAGUACUGCUCCAGAACCAGUAGUCUCACAGACCGCAAAAUGAUAGUAUGUACUUUUGCUGGUUCCAAAUGAGUUUUUGUGCAGUUGUGGAUUAAUAGAAUUUCUUGUGACUCUCGUAUUGACAUCAUCCUGAAUAAAACUGGAUAUAAAAUU
rnacentral:misc_RNA from 1 species